rnacentral:tRNA from 1 species
ACCCAGCUUAGUUGGUAGAGCAUGAGACUCUUAAUAUCAGGAUUGUGGUUUUGAGCCCCACAUUGGGCA